AUUGAACGCUGGCGGCAGGCCUAACACAUGCAAGUCGAGCGGUAGAGAGGUGCUUGCACCUCUUGAGAGCGGCGGACGGGUGAGUAAUGCCUAGGAAUCUGCCUGGUAGUGGGGGAUAACGCCCGGAAACGGACGCUAAUACCGCAUACGUCCUACGGGAGAAAGCAGGGGACCUUCGGGCCUUGCGCUAUCAGAUGAGCCUAGGUCGGAUUAGCUAGUUGGUGAGGUAAUGGCUCACCAAGCCGACGAUCCGUAACUGGUCUGAGAGGAUGAUCAGUCACACUGGAACUGAGACACGGUCCAGACUCCUACGGGAGGCAGCAGUGGGGAAUAUUGGACAAUGGGCGAAAGCCUGAUCCAGCCAUGCCGCGUGUGUGAAGAAGGUCUUCGGAUUGUAAAGCACUUUAAGUUGGGAGGAAGGGUCGUUACCUAAUACGUGACGAUUUUGACGUUACCGACAGAAUAAGCACCGGCUAACUCUGUGCCAGCCGCCGCAGUAAAAC
rnacentral:rRNA from 1 species